rnacentral:lncRNA from 1 species
UGGCUUGUUCCUAACUCGCGGCCAAUCACCACACUGCCAGAUGGUGCGAAAGAUUUACCGGAAUUUCGUUUUCAAAUAAACCACAAGCUUGGAUGAGCUAAUGUUGUUCCACAUAAAAAAGCCACAAAACUGGACAAAUUAACGUUGUUUCAAGAAAGGAAACUUGUCCGGGCCAUCAGGUCUGCCCUCUCAGGGGGCACCAAUAUCUGCACCAAGACACUGGGGACGCCCCUGCCUCCCUUACCGCUGACUCCACAAAAUAACUUAGGGGGAAUUAUAUUUUCCUGUGGAACCAAAUCAUUUCUGUCAAGUUCAUCUCAGUUGCACCAAGAGUCUGAGGAUGGCAAUGCCUCUUCCGGCCUGUCAGCAAUGGUUGCAGUCUCUCCCAACACUGCCUGUGAGCGCUCCCGGGACAGGGCCACUAGCCCAGCAGGUCAGCUUGGGCUGCUUAGCAGGGACAUUUAGCAUGAUUUAUAAACCACAAUGGCAUGGGUGAGAGUGGCUUCCGGGAAGGCCCCACCCUCAGCAGCAGUGGCCAUAAAGCCUAAUGGAAAAAGCUUCCAUGAUUGGGAUCCUGGAUUCUCACCCCUGCUGUACCACUUAGCGGCAGAACCAUGAACAGAUUGAAAGACUCUAAAGAACAUGAUUUUCUCAUUCUUAGGAUGGAAACAGCCUGGGUGCGGUGGCUCACACCUGUAAUCCCAGCACUUUGGGAGGCCGAUGCAGGAGGAUAACUUAAGGCCAGGAGUUUGAGACAAGCCUGGGCAACAUAGCAAGAACCCCCCACUGCCCUUCUCAACAACAAAAAAGAGCCAGAUGUGGUGGCACAUGCCUAUUGUCCUAGCUCAGGAGAAUGAGGCAGGUGGAUUGCUUGAGCCAAGGAGUUCAAGGCUACAGUGAGCUAUGAUCAUGCCAGUGCACUCCAGCCUGGGUGACAGAAUGAGACCCUGUCUCUAAAUAGAUAAAUAAAUAAAUAAAAAUAAAAAAGAUAGAGAUAAUAAUAUUAAGCCAACAAGGUUGUUGUAAGGAUAAAACUGAGUUAAUAUGUAAAGUCCUUUAGUGCUGUGCUCAACACACAAGAAGUGCUCCUCCCUACAUGUGGACACUACAUGGGAUGAUAUGAUGAUGAUGAUGAUGAUGAUGACGAUGACGAUGUCAGCCAUGUGGCUGCCCCUCAUCUUAUAGCACUUAUCUUGUCCAUCUGGUGCUAAAGAGCCAGUCUCAGAGGAGGUAUGUCAUCUGCUUCCUAUGGUCAGCUGAGUUGAACAAAAUACCAUGAAGUGAUUCAAGCCAGGAAGUCAAUCAAUAUAACUCAAGCUGAAAGAGCCCUUCUUUAAAGAAUCUAAAGAAUUGCCUCAUCUUUCCUCCUUCCUUUUCUCAACCAAACAACAAAAUGUUUUGCCUUAAGAAUUAGAUGCCUUAAGGAUUUUGUUUUAAAUUAGAAUUUUAUGAAUGUCCUUCCUCUCUGAAAUUUUAUAUUAUAAAUAUGUGUAGAAAUACUCUAAAGGGAUGUCUGUGAUCUGGGUGUUGGGAUUUCAUCUUGCUACAUGGGAUAAUGAAAUACGGAACUUAUUUGAGCAGAGAUUCAGGUCUAUUGAGAAUUAUAACCAAAGUACCGCUUAUUGAGCACUUUCUAAGCUAAACGACUUUAUAUACUUUAUCGAAUCCUUACUAUAAAUUUAUAUUUUCUCCAUUUUGCAAAUGAAAAUUCUAAAGAAAAAUUUUACUAGUUGUAAAAAGGCCAUAUCUGCUUGGCCAUAAGACCUGUUUAUGCUAUUCUGUCUCACUAACAAAUUUUUAGAUAGAAGUCACUAGAGAUGAACAUUAGGCUAACCUUAAAAGAUAAUGAUGGAGAAAAAGAAAAACACUCAAAAUGCUUUACAAGUUUUACUUUAGUCUUCACAACCACCCUACGAGGUAGCAGCUUUUGUUGCCUUCAUUUUACAGAUGAGGGAUCCAAGCAGAGAAAUCAGUUGUGUGCCAGACUCACAUAGCUGGUGGCCCGUAGCAGAGCUGGGAUUCAAACCCAGGCAGUUUGACCUUGAGCUUUGUGUUAUGCUGUCAUAGGCAGGGGUCAGUCUCCUGAAGCCUUGCACAGGGAAGGAAAUGUUCCCUUCCUUGUGCAUUAGGCAAGCUGCCCUGAACUUCCUGCAGCACCCACCAUAGAAUAACCCACCAACUCCAUAGGAAACCUCGCUUAUGCACCCAGAUCUGGUCUGUGAUUUGCUACAGAAAGACAAGAAAUGGCCUGUGGCUUCUUGCUAGCCUGCACUACCAGGCAAUUACUUUUCAGGAGUGGUGGGAAGCCAAACAAAUUCUGAACAUCCUUAUCUGGAACCUGUUUCAUGCAGAGAAGGCCUGCUUGUAAACACAACAGGACGUACAAGCUGAUGAGGAGAAGGCUAUCUUUUUGAACGUUGCCCCUGGGGGACUGGGAGGUCUGCUAGCCCUGGCUCCUCGGGCAAGACCACAACCCUCUAACUGGGCCUCACUUUCUGCUUUGGCUGAGCUGGGAACGGCCAGCAAGGGAGGAGUCGCGGGUGAGGGAGCACAUUGGCCUCCACCUUGGCAAUGCUGCUGUCCCCAAGGGAAAUGUUCCAGGGAAUGUCCUCAGCACCACAGAGAACUGAAAUCCUGGAGAAAACUGGCCUAAGGAGCUCAGAAAGGCCAAUAAAACUGGGGCAUUUGGGGAAGAAGAGGAAAUGGAAUGGCAUUAUUGGAUGAUUUAAAUGUGGUGUGUUGCUAUGGUUCCCAGCCUUCUUGAAAGUCACAGACAUGGUGUAUGGGCUGAAUUGUGUCUUCCCAAAACUCACAUGUUGAGUACAGUACUACAAAAUAUAUUUGAAGAGAUUUGAGUUACAGCACUACACAUUUGAGUUACAGUACUACAAAAUGUAUUUGAAGACGGAGCCUUUGAAGGGGUAAUUGAGUUAAAAUGAGGUCAUAAGGUGGUCCCUAAUCCAAGGCGAUUGGUGUCCUUAUAAAGAGAGAAGAUACCAUAGAAGGAAGACCCUGCGAAGAUAAAGGGAAGAGACAACCAUCUGCAAGCAGAGGAGAGAGGCUUCAAAAGAAACCAACUCUGCCAGCACCUUGAUCUUGGACUUCUAACAUCUAGAACCAUGAGAAAAUAAAUUUCUGCUGUUUAAGCCACCCAGUCUAUUGUAUUAAUACUUUGUUACGGCAGUCCAAGUUGAGUAAUGUACAAGGUGACCCUGCAAUUCCCUAGAUUUGGAGUGCUUGGCUUUUGUUUGUAGCUCAAAGCCUGUCUCUUUUACAGGUAGCUCUCAGAAGACAAGUGAGGGGACACGCAGAAAGGGAGGUCCUUCUUCCCCCACUACAAUCCCUGAGCAUGGAUGGAGAUGGGAGGGCUGGGAUCCUCAGUUCUGUGAGAAAAAUACAAAGGACCAUAAGCCCUGGUGAGAAGGGAGAGUCUCCCUGAGGCACUAGUAAGGAAGUGACCUGGACCUGGACCUCCCACUCCAGGACAUUUUAACCAGCCCUGUGUCAACAGAGCAUGCGCAACCCAGAGGACAUUUUCUUUGAGCCCCACUUUACAGUCUCAUUUACCUGGAGCCUGGCUGGGCUCCAUCAGCCCCCAUUCAGUUAAGAAACUGCCAAAGGAGCAGUUUAUCCAUAUGCCUGCAGGAUAUUAAGGGAAAUGAAUUUUGUGUUCUGGCUGAGAGGGCCUCAGUGGACACUUCCAAAAGGAACCCUGAUUCACAGUAUUUGAUACUUGGUUAUUGGCUUUGGUAGAGCUUGGUUUUGUGUUCUGUCUUCUGAGAGGCAGGUACUGGACACCAGAAGCAGCAGGAUAAUGGCCCUGAAGGAGUCCUGACUGCAACCCCCUGACCACCACCACCGGAGAAUUUGCUCCAGCUUUACUCUCUUCUGAUUUUCCAGAAAUCUGGCAUUUUAAAUAGCUAUUUUGUGUUGGCCUCUUUUCUUCCUUUCUAAAAAGUAUGUUUUAAUUAAAUGUUCUUUGGUUGCUGGCUAAGCUAACCCCAAAGGUUGGUGUCCCUGGUGUGGGCGGGAGAGGUUGAGUUCACACUGCCUUUCAAAGCAGUGCCAGUCCCUUCUGCCCUCUGCGAAGCCCACGUGAAGGGAAGACAAUGGGUUACUGUGGGCCACAGAGCCAUGUCCCCUCACACUGCUCUCCCCUCAGGGCUGCCAGGUGUGGUUGGGGCCUGAGACAAGCUUCUCGCCUCAUCAUUCCUUUCGAGGCAACACUUAAAACAGAGAGGGCUUCAGAAGGAAACAGCACAACCAGCGUCUCAGCACAUGCGGCAAUUCAGAGAGGAAGUACGUUCUAGAACAAAAAUUAAACCCUAAACCUAUAGGUACCAGCUCCAUCCUGCCAUAAAUGCAUCAUACGCUUGGAACUUCCAACACAACCCCGAGAAUGCUGCUCGCUCCCACGAGCUGACGGCAGGCCUGGCCCUCCGCCAGGGAGUUCACUUGCAAAGCUGGAAACUCCCUAACUUAAAACAAUGUCUGGGUGUUUUCUGCUUCAUAGGGGCUCAGAAGGAAGGUAAAAAGCUCAGUAAAUUUGUUGUUUGACAUCUCACUCUGAGUACUGUGUGUUUCAUCUGCCUUCACUCUCACAAUUAUUAUCAACUUGCUGGCUAUAAAAGGCAGGGGCUACAAACUCAGUGAGCCAAAUGCAGUGCUUGCUUCCUAUCUGUGGUCCAUUGCAUAGCAGUGUGCUUGGGUGCUGCGUAAGACAAUUCCCCCCAACGCCUCCAAAAAAUAGGACAUGGUCCACUGCAGGAGUUCAUAAUCUAGGAGUCCAGAGAGUCCAGGCUCAUCAUCCCUUCAGAAGAAAGAAUCUUCAGGCCUCUGCUCUUGUGAGAGUAAUUUCUCUUAACACCGACAGUGCAGCAAUACAACUACCACCACCUUUCAAUUAUUGAGAGGCAAUCAUCUAAAGCAUUUGGCAAGUGAUCCACUUACGGAGCCAAGCUAAGGGAGCUGAAGAGAAGAGGCCGCCGCCCCAACCCAGCUACUCCAUGUGCUACUUUCUCUCGCAACUUUGAGCAAGAAUGUUAGAUCUUUUGCUGGGGGCCUUCGGAAGCCGUGAGGGAGCAUAUCCUGACACCCACAUAGAAGACCUGGUACCUAUGUUUCCACAUCACAAAGCAGGCCAACAAGCACACAAGGCCGCAGACCAAAUUAAGAAUCAUCUGGAUGAGUAAGAACAGUUUGAAAGUGCCAGUGACGCUGGUACAGUCCGUCACAUCCCGGUAAACAAAGGUCCUGCUGAGCGGCUCCGAGGAGGGCAGUUUGCACUGGCAAGAGUCGAGUGUGGUCUCACAGAGCUGCUUGACAGGGUUGUCUGGGGAAUACAACCUUACCCUGUCAAAUGCCUUUCAAUGUUUUUCUUCUCCUUCCUUACCCCCGUUUCAUCGUGUACCUGCAAUGGGACUCUAUUUCUGAUAUUAGAAAACCACCCAAUGGAACUGAUAAAAAUGAGUUGGAACUUGUGACCAGCAGCUGGAUGAGAGGAGUGUGAAUCCCCCAAAUCUUAUGGAUAUAGUGUGCUUUCUUUGAUGUUCCUGCCAAAGUGAGGCUGGAAAGCUAGGAAGAUCUGUAAGACGUGUGCCAGCACAAAGUGACUACAAUUCAAAAGUUCCAAAAACCUUGCUUGAAACAAUUGCAAAUAGCUCAUCAUUUUAAACCAGUGAACCCAAGGCUGAGUGUUUCAUCAAUUUACAGAAAACCAAGAAGAGAAAUCUGACAGCUAUCCCAGUGUAUGACUUACCAUGGAGAUCUUCAAAUAGAAUCACUUUGGUUUGGGUCUCAUUUUCAUAUUAUAACACAAAUUUGUGUAUGUGGGUUAAGAUUCAUAUUUGAUAGGAACUGCUGGGAAUUCUUGCAGUUAUAUCCUCAAAAGACAAAAUAAGCAUAACCAACAGAAUUGUGAAGCAAUAAAGUUGAUUAUGGAUGAAAACUGGGCUGAACAGUCAUAGGACAUGACUUGUUCCUUUGACCUAAAAUGUGCUUUUCUUUCCUUAUCUACCCAGUGUAAUGGUACUACUCUUUCAACCAUCUUGAAUUCACUCACACUUAUUCGUCAAAUCCUGCUCAGCUAUUCCCACUACCCACAAAGUGUACCUUUUUCGUAUUCCUUACUUUUUAUACAUUAGCUCAUUUUCCCCCAAACAAUGCAAUAAAGUAAAAAAUAUUACUCUAUUUUAUAGAAACUUGCAGCUCAGAAAGGAUAAGAAACUUGCAAGUUGAUCCAAAAUAAAUUUCUAAAAAGCAUCAAAAGGUUUCAUUUCUGCAUAAUAUUAAGGACUAAAUUAUAGGAAAACUCUCUCCCUAUAAAACACUGUAAAAUGCUGGAUAAAACGUAGCAUCCCUUAUAAAAUGAAAAAACAAUUAGCCCACUAGCACUGGAAGUCAUCAAGAAAAUUGUUCUGUCUCAACAGAUGCAGGGGGGCAGUUUGAGGUUUUUCUACUACUUUCCUAGUCCUGGAACCUAUUAAGAUGAGAAAGUAACAUGAAAGUGAUCCUGAAAAAAUAAACCAAAACCUGGCUAUUUCAAUAAAUAAAUUGUAAGGGGGAGAGAGACAGAGACAGAGAGAGAGAGACACAGAGAGAGAGAAUAGAAAGGAGAGACAAAGGGUAAAUUUUUGAGUAAAGGAAAUGUUAGAAAUAUAUGAGUCAACUGCAGUGUAUAGAUCUUAUUGAGAUCCUGAUUUUGACAAAUCUAGGAGGAACUAUUAAUGAGUUAAUCAUGGAUAUUUAAACAGUGGUUUGAUUCUAUUAAGAAAUUAACUUGUUAGGUGUAUUAUUAGUAUAUUGAUUAUUUUUUAGUCUUCAUCUUUCGACUUACAUAGCAAAAUAUUUAUAAAUAAAAUGAUAUAAAGUCUGGGAUUUAGUGCAAAAUAAUCCACUGUGUAGUGUGUGUAGUGUGUGGGUGUGGAGGAAAUAUAGGAGCAUACAGAUAAGACAAGAUUGAGCAUGAGUUGAUAGUUAUCAAGGCUCGGUGAUGAGAAUAUAGAGGUUCAUUAUACAAUUGUAUCUACUCUUGUGUAUGCUUGAAAUUUUUCAUAAUAAGUAAGUUAAGGAAACAAAGUGGUUCUAGGCCUGUAACAUCACUGGGACAUAUGGCAAGACAAACCCAUCUGGAAGGGUUGUACUCUCAAAUAGGCUAUAUCAAGUUAUCAUACAUAAAGCCUCUUGGAAGAUGAACUCACAAACCAAAAUUAGCAAACACUUGAAGAAUUAAUUAUUAGUGAAGGCUAGCUCUUACAUGCAUGUACACACACACACACACACACACACACACACACACACACACACACGCUCUAAGAAUCAGAGCUAUAAGAAUUCCAAAUAAUGGAAGUAAUGAGCAGAGCCUAUAAAAAGUACAUUCAAAACAAACACAUGAAGGAAGGAACUGAAAACAUAAAGAACAGGACAGUUUUUAAAGCACCAGGGAUAUGUGAAAAUAACAUCAGUAACAACAUCAGUGAGUUCUAGAAUGAAAAAUUAAAAUUGCUGGCAGUAAAAACUCAAAGGACAAGUAAAAGGCAGAUUAAACCUAAAUGAAGAAGGGAAAAGUGAACCAGAAAAUCUGAGAAAAUAACCCAAGAUACAGCACAGAGAGAUAAAGAGAGAUGAAACAUACUAGACAGGAUAAGAAAUAUGGAGGGAGAAUAAGAAGAUUCUAAAUAUACAUCUGACAGCAAUUCCAGGCAAAGGGAACAAACUUAAUUUUAAAAUUGAGUAUAGAACCCUAAACCCCAAAAUGAGAGAAUCCACAUUUUUCCCAAGCAUUCAAGAACUGUUUAUGAAGAUUGGUCACAAAAUAAGUCUAAUCAAAUAUCAAAUAAUUGAUAUGAAAAACACAUGAACUGAGCACAAAGCAACUAAAGUGAACUCAAUAAUCAAAAGACCAGAUAAAAGACAUUAGAGAAGACUCAAAUAAAUGGUGAGAUCAUCUUUGGUCAUGUAUAGAAAGUACAAAUCCCAGGAAAUUACCAAAAGUAUUUUUCUUGGAACUUGAAAAGCCUAUUCUAAAGUGUAUAUGCAAGAGAAAAUGGCUAAGAUUCACUGAGAAAAUUUUGAAGAAGAAUAAAAUGAAGGAGGGUGGGUUGGGGGUGGGCUGCUUAUCCAUCAUCUUUAUAACAAGAUGCAUUAUAGCAUCAUUUUAAUUUAGACAAUGGUAUUGGCAUAGUGAUAGCCAAAUAAAACAAUAGAACUAAGGAAAAUCACAAAGCAAAUCUAAUAUGGAAACUUGACAGAUGAUAAAUGGGUGUAACAGAUCACUAUGAAAGGGACCGAUUAUUUAUUAAACGGUGCUAAAACAAUUAUCAAUCCAUGUGAGAAAAAAUGUAUGGACCCUUCACAUCAUUGCAAAAAGAAACCACUUAUAAUAAAGAUAUGAAUACCCAAAAGCAAACCUUUAACAUUUUUAGAAAAUGGUAUAGAAAAAUAUUUUUAUGGCCUUGGAGUAGGGAAAAAUUUCUUUAAACUACAUCAAAUCCAUAAAAAAAAGAACUGAUAAAUAUAAAUAUAUGAAGAUUAAAUCUUUUUUCAUAACAAAACACCAUAAAUAAAAGAUAUGAUACCAACCAGAAAAAGAUAUUUGUAGUACCUAAAACCAUAAAGAUUAAGUAACAAAAGUAACAAAUCCUAUAAAUAAAUAAGAAACGAACAACCCAUAGAAAAUAUUUUUUGAAUAAAUAAAUGAUAGAACACAAAAUAAAAUGGCCAAUCAACAUAAAAUAUGUUCAAUUCCAGUAGCAACACCAAAAUGCAAAUUAAAACAAGAUACCAUUGCACACAAAUAAGAUAGGUAAAGAACUCUGAUUUACCACUGGUGGAGGUGAGGUGUAAGUUAGUCCAAUUUGGAUUUGUGGUAGUGACUUGGCAAUAGCUAGUAAUUUGACGAUGUCUAUAUCUUAUGACCCAACAAUUUGACUUCUAGGAAUAUGCCUUAACAAGACUUUAUGUGCACAGGGAGUUAUAGACAAGAAUAUCCACUGUAACACCGUAAAUGCAAAAUAAAAAAUCAUUUUUGAAAACAAAUUUUCUUCAACAAGAGAAUGAAUUAACUGUUAUAUAUCCCCCCCCCCCACCACCACCACUUUCUUUUGAGACAGGGUCUUGCUCUGUUGCCCAGGCUGAAGUGCGGUGGUGCGAUCAUGGCUCACCACUGUCUCAACCUCCCAGGUUCAAAUGAUCCUCCCACCUCAGCCUCCUGAGUAGCUGGAACAACAGGCAUCUGCCACCACACCCAGCUAAUUUCUCUACAAAAAGUAUUUUUUGUAGAGACGGGGUUUUGCCAUGUUGCCCAGGCUUGAACUCCUAGGCUCAAGCAAUCCUCCCGCCUUGGCCUCCCAAAGUGCUGGGAUUACAGGUGUGAGCCACUGUACCUGGCCAAUGUUGUAUAUUCCUAACAGUGAAAUUCAGUAUAGCAAACAUGAAUGAAUGAUAUCUGUGUACUAUUAUAAAUAAAUCUCAAAAACGAUGUUGAGCAGAAAUGAUAUGAUACCAUCUGUAUAAAAAUUAAAAUAUGACAUGUUGGUUAUGGAUAUAUACAAAUUUUCAAAGUAUGAAAACAGGCUUAUGCAUAAAAAAUACCAAAUUCAGGAUAGUACAUAUCUCUGGGGAAGAUGGGAGGGGUAGGGGAAUUUGAUUAAGAAAUGAAACAUGGGAGACUUCAAUACAAUGUAAUGUUUCCUUUCUUAAAAAAUAAUAAAAAAGCAAUUAUUACAAAAUACUAAAAUUUAGCAAAGCUAGGAAUGGAUAAGUGGGCAUUUUUUUCUAUGUUAUUAUGCAUUAUUUUCUAUGUUAUUAUGCAAUUGAAAUGUUUAUAAUUUUAAAAAGCAUAGAAUUGCACAGAAUUACUGACAUUUGUUCAAAUUCACAUAGAAAUGAAAAUUUAAAAAUCAUUACCAAAUAUUUUUUGGAAAAUGAUUCUACAUUAGUAGAGCCAGAAUUCUACCCUUACUCCAAAGCUGGAGUCAUUCCUCAAAUUUCAGACCCCCUCUCCUUUCUUUUUCUGAUCUUACCCUGAGGGUUCAUCAUGUUCUUCUCUGCGCUAGCACGGUACAUUGUUUAAGGCACCACCUUGGCAUUUUGUUUUUAAAACUAAAUUGCAGUUAGUUGUACCUGUGUUUCCUCACCCAGAGACUAAGCUCUUGGGGGCACCAUACCUGGUAUAUGAAAAUACAGAGGGAGAGUGGCUAGGGUGUGGCUUCUACUCCUAACUAACUCUUGUGAUGACUUACCAAAAACUAAUCACCAAGUUCUAUAAAUACUUAUUCUUGCAAAAUAAUCAAUUUCCAAAGAAUGUAAGAGAAUCAAAGAUUGUGUUCCAGCCUUUCUCAUGAAUCAACAGGAGGGGCAGAAUUGUUACAAACAGUAUUUGUGGGAAGAAAUAAACAACCUAUAGUUUAUUUGUUUCACUUGGGGAUUUUCAAGCCCUCAGAAGAGGGAAAGGAAUCUUGCUGAUGUGGAUUGAGCCUACUCCGGUGGUAUAGUCAUGGGCUGGAUUUCAUUACUUAGCCAUAAUUAAGUCAGUUCUCAAAUUAGGUCCCAUUCUAGAAAUGACUGCAGAGAUAAUUCUAUAUUAAACUCCUGGGUUCAUAUAUGUUGAAUAGUACAAUAAAUAUAAACAUAUUAAAUAGCACAGUGCAUAGAAAUUAUACAGUAAAUCAAUAUAAAUUGAAUUAUGUAACAUUGGAAUGGGAUUGUAAAUGAGAGAACCAUCUUGUUCAACCUUUAAAAAUAUUAUCAAGUGGCUUUUCUAAUUGAGAGUACUUUAUGAAAAACAGUAUGAGGGAACAUAAAGUAAUAUAUAUUAUAAUAUUACUUCUCCUUUGAAAGUGUUUUGUCCUUUUCAACAUGAGGAGGUCAGUGUCCCCAAGCAGCCUGCAGCCUCUCCUACAUUUCCCCCUCGCCUCCCAUGGCAACACGGGUUAGCCAGACACUGAGCUUUUUGUGAUGUGUGUGUGAGGACAGAGAGAAGGGGAGCAAAGCUUCAGGGAGGUCUUGAGGUGGAAAAAUUUGUGACGCACACGAUUUGGUGACUGAAGAAGAAUUCUUUCUUGAGGGUUCUAUAACACAAUAGUUACGGUCACCCUAUGUGCAUUUAAAAAUUCCUAGUUGGUCUCAAGCCCUUAAUGCACACCGAAGCCCUUUAAGAGGCUUCUCAAACUACUUGUUCAUGGAAAGAUUAUGAGACAAAGCCAACCUGUGUGGGUUUGGUCCUUCUGUUUCAGAACCUGACUACCAAAGAGCCUGGGAGAAGUACAUAAACUUAUUGAACAUGUAACUCAUAAACUAAAAGAUUCAAACUCUGUACACAGAAUUCUGUAUGCGGUCAUGAAGAAAUCCCUUCUCAUUUAUGAUCAUACAUUUGCCUUAGGGAGUCCGAGUUUGCCCUCUUCACUGCCUUGGGUGCCCCACUAUCUUCCUGAGGUAGGCACAGUCCUCCUGCAAGUUUCUCCCUGAGAGAAGAGCACCUCCAACCUCCAACAGAAUUGAUGAGGACUGAAAUGCUGUUGCCCUUGUCUUAGAAAAUGCCUCCUUCAUAGCUUUCCUGGCAUAGCUAAAUGUGAGAUAGGGCUAAGCCUGUGAGAUCAGGCUAAUGGCCUGAUAUGCAUGCCACACCUGAUACUUUAGAAGGAAGCCAGCCAAGGAAGUGUUUUUUCCCCCACUUAGUAAUAAAGCUAAAAUUCUCUCGCUCGUCAAAGUCUAGUUAACACAUUAGCAGCCCCCUCCCCCUUUUCUGGUCUCCUGUCAUUAUCUUCCAUACAAGAGAGAGGGCUUGAUAAUAACAUAUCUUAAAGGGGUUUUUAAUUGCUCCUUACAGUGAAUGCUGAAUCUAACGCUUUAAAAACAACUGAGUAGAAUGCCACUUAAAAGCGCUUCCUCCAGGUUUCUCACCACCUCUCUCAGUACCACGGCACUCCCAGCCAGGGGAGAGUUGCUCAUUUCUGCAAAGAUUAGAAGCAGGUCCAACAGAACUUCUUCAGCAGAAUCUGAGAAUGCUCAUUUGUGAACAAACUGUCUGCUUUCCAACGUCCCGUCACUUACUGGACUUUUGCCAGCCCCAGGAAACACCAUAAUGAAACACUCACAUUUAUGAAAUUCACAAUUAGGGACCGUGGCUCUAGCAACAUUAGCUCAGAGAGCAUCAACUUUAAAUAUGCUCAAAAAUCAAACUGGAGAGCUUACAGUAUCCCAUCGUGGCCAUCCCUUUUCGUUUUGGAACUGAGAUUGGACCAAUUGUUAUGAAAGGCUGCAUGUUUUAGUCUUCCCUGGUCUUUCCCUCUUGGGUGGCUUGGGUUUGUGCAAUACAGUACUUAGUGAAGGAAAAGCAGAGCCCAGCUCAGGACUUCUUAAGUGAGGGAACAGAAUCCAAUGAGAAGCCCUUAAAUGUGUGUCAAAAUGAAGAUCUACCAAAGAGUGAAGGCACCUACUAAAGGCUAUUACCUCAUAAGGCUCAAAGGGCGGGUGGGGGGUGCCCACAGUAUGCAAUCACCACCCCCCACAGGACAGCAGGCUUGGUCAAUGGCUGAACAUAUAAGCAUUCCCCAAUGGUACCACUCAGCCAGCCACCUUUGCAUCAGAAGCCAAAGUAUCCUUGAGCUACAUCUUGACAUCAGGAUACUCCCUGGAGCAUAAAGAAAUGCAGGAAUUUACAGCGUGGAGGUUCCUAAGCCUUAAAGAGUUAAUGCAGCAAAGGAAAUGCCUAAGUUAACCUUAGAAUUGUAUUCACUAGCUAGAUUUACUUGAUUUUAUUUUUACAGAAAUUUGACAAAAGAAGCAAUCUGUAAAUGCAAUGAAAACAGCUUCCUCCAUAUGUCUCACUACUGGCAUGAGCACGGAGCCGCGCCACCCCAUCGUACCUCCGUGUGUCAGAUUACGGGCUCAGAAUACCCCUCGGAAACACUCAGACUUCUAGCUGUUCCAAGAAAGCCGUAGGGCUUUCAAUAAUAAGCUGUAAAACGAGCUUAAGAGUCACUGAGGUUGCUGUGCAAAUGUAUAACCCUCACCGGAAAUGCUAUGGACUGAAUUGUGUCCCCGUAAGUCAUAUGUUGAAGCUGUAACCUCAAAAGUAACUAUAUUUGGAGAUAGGGCUUUUAGGAGGUAAUUAAGGUUAAAUAAGAUCCUAAGCAUGGGGUCCUAAUCCAACAGGACUGGAGGAUUCAUGAGAAGAGGAAGAGAAAGAGAUCUCUUCUUCUCUUCACAUGCAUGAACUGAGAAAAGACCAUGUGAGCACACAGCAAGAAGGCAGCCGCCUGCAAGCCAGGAAGAGAACCCUCCCUAGCCCCUGACCAUGUUGACACCCUGAUCUUGGACUUCCCGUCUCCAGAACUGUGAGAAAAUGAAUGUUUGCUGUUUAAGUCACCCAGUCUACGGUAUUUUGUUAUAGCAGCCUGAGCCGACUAAGACAGAAAGAAAAAUGUAUUUUAGUUAAUGCCAUAUGUGUAGGUGUACACAUAUGAAUUUUAAAAUUAACCAGGGUGAUGGAGUGAGCUGCUUCACUCAGGCAUCUGACAGUUACUCUUGCCAAGUUUUAUCUCAAUACACAGAGAUCUGAGACUGCAUCCAAAGCAUCUGAAAGAGGGUGUGCCUAUGGAAUAGGUUUUUAUAUAGCUUAUGCUGUAAAGCCUGUUCCUAGCAUCUAUUUUUUUAAAAGAAGUUCACUGUAAGCUUAUGAACUCAUCGUGAUAAACCUAGACUUGAACAUUUACAGCAAAUAAUAACUGGAAGGUUAAACUAUGACAUCAUGAGGUCCCAUCCAGCUCUGGAUUUUGAUGGACAUUUUUUGACCAGUACUUCCUUAGUUUGCCAGGAUGGAAGACCUAAAAAUGAACUGCAUUUUGCAGUGAAUUAUACCUAAUUAAAGUUUAAUGACUAGAUUACAUUCCUGUCUGAUAUGGUUUGAUUCUGUGUCCCCACCCAAAUCUCUCUUGAAUUGUAAUCCCCAUGUGUUGAGGGGGAAACCUGGUGGAAGGUGGUUUGAUCAUGGGGGUGGUUCCCCCUAUGCUCUUCUCAUGAGAAGAUGAGAUAGUGAGUUCUCAUGAGAUCUGAUGGCUUAUAAGUGGCAGUUUCCCCAGUGCUCUCUCUCCUGCAGCCCUGUAAGAUAUGAUUUGCUUCUCCUUUGCCUUCUGCCAUGAUUGUAAGUUUCCUGAGGCCUCCUCAGCCAUGUGGAAUUGUCAGUCAAUUAAACCUCCUUUCUUUAUAAAUUAGUCUCACGUAGUAUCUUUAUAGCAGCGUGAGAACAGACUAAUACACUAUCCUACAGUAACAUAGAAACAUAUAUGCUGAACUCUUCAACAUAACCUUAUGUGUUUCCUUUUAAUGUUAUCAUUAACCCUUCAGGCCACAAUACAACCAAGUGGAUCCAGUGAAAGACCAUCCUUAAUAGAAAUGUCUCAGAUACAGCUAAAGGCAAGAGCAAAUCUAGAAAACACCCAUUUUCUCAGACCACACUGAAAGAGGGCAUCAUAUUGGCAAUCUAUCUAUUCAACUGUUAGACCAAACAUUAGAGAAACCUAUGCCAUUGUUUUCUUCGUAAAAGGUUAAGAGUGGUAAUAUCAACAUCUAGCAUUCAGCCACAUCAAUCCUAAUAUGUCCUAUUCUAGUUAGGAGAGUGCAUAUAAGUCAAAUGACCUUCCUGAGUCCUGCCAUUUUAUAACAUGAAAUAAAAAAUCUAAGUAAUGUUAAGUUAAUAUGUUCUGAAUUCUUCUAGAAUCCAGAAGCCAAAAUGGAGUAAUAACACAUUCCUUACUAUUACCUCAUAGUUGUCUUAAAUGUCAUAAAUAAAUUUGUCUGUGUUUGAAUAUACAACUACAGUCAGCCCUCUGUAUCAAUGGGUUCCAUAUCCAUGAAUAUAAUCAACCACGGAUCAAAAACAUUUGGAUAAAAAAAGGAUGGUUGUGUCUGUACUGAACAUGUACAGACCUUUUCAUGUCAUUAUUCCCUCAAUAAUAUAGUGUGUCAACUGUUUACAUAGUAUUUAUAUUGUAUUAGGUAUUAUAAGUAAUCUAGAAAUGAUUUAAAGCAUAUGUAGGAUGUGCAUAAAUUAUAUGCAAAUACUACACCAUUUUAUAGCAGGGACUUGAGUAUCUGUGAAUUUUGGUAUCAGGAGUCCCAGUACCAAUCCCCUGCAGAUACUAAGGGAUGACUGAAUAUAGCUUAAAAAUGGGCAUAUGCAUGUUCAAACAGAAGCUCUGAUAAUGGCAAGUAUGGAAUAAAUAGAUUUCAGUUCAACAUUUAUUAAUUA